UGUUCUGUGGUUUAGUUGGUGAAAGUGCCGGUCUAGCGAAUAGUCGUGGGUUCGAAUCCCACCAGAAUGC
rfam:Aedes albopictus isolate Foshan contig116933, whole genome shotgun sequence.